GACGUCUACCUCACGGUACCCGUUGCGCAGGUGCACCAGAACUUCCUGCAAUUCACAUGGCAAGGGAGGAAAUGGCGAUUCCGCUGCCUUCCCUUCGGGCUCUCUUCUGCAACUUGGUGUUUCACCAAGCUCAUGAAGCCCGUCAUCGCUCUCCUACUCAGUCGGGGAGUUCGUCUAAUCAAAUACUUAGACGGCAUCAUGCUGCUAUCUCAAUCAGUAUCAUAACUUCAUAUUCACCUCGGUUGGACCACAACCUUGCUACAGAACUUGGG